CUUUUUAAAAUUGAUCUCAUCCUGUCAGUCACUGUCAGAGAAGCUCUCACUGGAUCAUUUUCAACACCAACAUGUUCUCUAUAUCUGUUCUGCUGCUGCUGGCUGCUGGAUCCUGUGUGAAGUGUGAACAGCUGACACAACUGGCCUCUUUGACUGUGCAGCCAGGUCAAACUCUGAGCCUCAACUGUCUGGUCUCUUAUUCUGUCACCAGCUACGGCACACACUGGAUCCGACAACCUGCAGGAAAAGCACUUGAAUGGAUGGGUGCUAUUUGGAGUGGUGGAAGUAACGACUAUGCCGCCAAUGUUCAAGGACGUAUAGGAAUCACCAGAGACACCACUAAAAACAUUGUGUAUCUGACGCUGUCUACCAUGAAACCAGAAGAGUCUGCUGUGUAUUACUGUGCAAAAAACACACAGUGGUUAAUGUGAGCAGAGAGGCUGUACAAAAACUCUCCACAGAGCAAAAGACAUGAGUGUCAUCAGCAAGCAAUGUGGUUUUUGAUCAUUUCCUGUUUUUCCAGAAUUCUGUCCACA